UACGAAGGGGGGCUAGCGUUGUUCGGAAUUACUGGGCGUAAAGGGCGCGUAGGCUGUGCUGUAAGUCAGGCGUGAAAGCCCCCGGGCUCAACCUGGGAAUUGCGCUUGAUACUGCGGCGCUGGAAGGUGGGAGAGGAUGGCGGAAUUCCCAGUGUAGAGGUGAAAUUCGUAGAUAUUGGGAAGAACACCGGUGGCGAAGGCGGCCAUCUGGCCCACAUUUGACG
rnacentral:rRNA from 1 species